rfam:Brevibacillus panacihumi W25 genomic scaffold Scaffold2, whole genome shotgun sequence.
AUCAGACACAACGUGCGCAAAAGUGAACACCUUUCAAUUAUGGGAGAGGAGAAACCGGAGGAAGAGCUUAUGGGGAAACGUAAGUCUUCUCCGCGG